rnacentral:tRNA from 1 species
UGCCCUGUCGUCCAAUGGUAGGACUCCAGAUUUUGGGUCUGGUUAUCCUGGUUCGAGUCCAGGCGGGGCAA